GGCUUUGGUCACAGUGACCGCCACCGUUGCCCGGGGAUGGGUCCCUGAGACUUGGCGAAGUAGGAGCCCUGUGUGAUCGUGCGUCAGAGUCGGGGCUGAGACCAGUCCUGGCCAGGGCAGUUACCAGGACGGUCUCCGGAGGCCGGGAUGCGCGGAGGCUCCACCAGCAGGAAGAAACGCCAGGAGGAAGAAACCUGAGACAGAUCGCCGGGGACGCAGCGCGGGAUCCCAGCCUCAGGCUUGCGCGGACGGUGUGCGGAGAGGUAGAAGCAAGAGAAGCAUAAACAUAUAAUUUCAAUGCAAUAUGGGAAUUUUGUACAGAGUUCCUAAAAAAAGGGAUCAUGAUGUCAGUGUAUUGCCUCACUGAUUGCUAAAUGAAGAGGACUAUAAUAAAGCAUUCAAAGAACGUGACAUGCCUCUGGGGCAACUGAAGGAUUGCUAUCUGACUUAUGCAUUUAAAACCUUCGAAGUGGAAGUUUGUCUGGAAUGGCUUAGGCAAACAGACUGGGUUGGAUUGAGAAUUGAAUGUAUACAUAAAAUUUGGUUUGAUCACAUGAGAACACCAAAUGUGGCAGCUAGAUCACCGUUAUUUAUGAAAUUUUUAUUGGGUUGAUUUGCCUUGAAAGAAUCAAAUCUAAGAGAAAUGUUUGGAAUGGCUAGAUGAUCCUAACAGAAGAAAUCUUACAGGUCUUUACUGCUAAACCUAAGGAGAUGAGAGUAAACAGUAAGUGGCCAACUCAAGGAAGCAUG
rnacentral:lncRNA from 10 species